AUGGAGACAACACUGGAGCAGCGGCAGUGCUAUCAUGAGGAGAAGGAACGGCUCAUGGAUGUCAUGGCCAAGGAAUGCUCACUAAAACGUCCAUGCUCUGGGACCAGAUCAAUUCUGAUCACUGCACUCGGGCCAUGCAAGAUAGGUAUAUGGAAGUCAGUGGGAACCCAAGGGAUUUGUAUGAUGAUAAGGAUGGAUUACGAAAGGAGGAGCUCAAUGCCAUUUCAGGACCCAGUGAAUCUGCUGAUUUCUAUAACAGACUCAAGCAAAUAAAGGAAUUCCACCGGAAGCACCCAAAUGAGAUCUAUGUGCCAAUGUCAGUGGAAUUUGAGGAGCUCCUGAAGGCUCGAGAGAAUCCAAGUGAAGAGGCACAAAACUCGGUGGAGUUCACAGAUGAAGAGGGAUACGGUUGUUACCUCAAUCUCCAUGACUGUUACGUCAAGUACAUUAACCUGAAGGCAUCUGAGAAGCUGGGUUAUAUCACAUACCUGUCCAUCUUAGACCAAUUAUUUGACAUUCCUAAAGACAGGAAGAAUGCAGAGCCUAAGAGAUAUCUAGAGAUGCUGCUUGAGUACCUUCAGGAUGACACAGAUAGAGUGAAGCCUCUCCAAGAUCAGAAUGAACUUUCUGGGAAGAUUCAGGCUGAAUUUGAGAAGAAAUGGGACAAUGAGAUCCUUCCUGGAUGGCCGAAAGAGACAAGUAGUGCUCUGACGCAGGCUGGAGCCCAUCUUGACCUCUCCGCAUUCUCCUCCUGGGAGGAGUUGGCCUCUCUGGGUUUGGACAGAUUGAAAUCUGCUCUCUUAGCUUUAGGAUUGAAAUGUGGCAGGACCCCAGAAGAGCGAGCCCAGAGACUAUUCGGCACCAAAGGAAUGUCCCUGGAGUCACUUGAUACCUCUUUGUUUGCCAAAAAUCCCAAGUCAAAGGGCACCAAGUGAGACACUGAGAGGAACAAAGACAUUGCUUUUCUAGAAGCCCAAAUCUAUGAAUACGUGGAGAUUCUCGGGGAACAGUGACAUCUCACUCAUGAAAAUGUACAAUGCAAGCAAGCAAGGACAGGAGAAGAGCGAGAAGAAGAGGGAGAAGAGCGAGAGGAAGACGAAAAAGAGCAAAUCAGUGAGAGUGAGAGUGAAGAUGAAGAGAACGAGAUCAUUUACAACCCCAAAACCUGCCACUUGGCUGGGAUGGCAAACCCAUUCCCUACUGGCUGUAUAAGCUUCAUGGCCUAAAUACCAAAUACAACUGUGAGAUCUGUGGAAACUACACCUACUGAGGACCCAAAGCCUUCCACCAGCACUUUGCUGAAUGGCGUCAUGCUCAUGGCAUGGCAUGAGGUGUUUGGGCAUCCCAAACACAGCUCACUUUGCUAAUGUGACACAGAUUGAAGAUACUGUCUCCUUGUGGGCCAAACUGAAAUUGCAGAAGGCUUCUGAAUGAUGGCAGCCUGACACUGAGGAAGAAUAUGAAGACUCAAGUGGGAAUGCUGUGAAUAAGAAGACAUAUGAGGAUCUGAAAAAAACAAGGACUGCUCUAGUGUUCAGGGAUGUAGCUCAGCUUUGGAGCUAGCCCAGGCUUCCCUGAGAUCUGCUUGCUCUAUUUCUCCCAACCAAAUCCUCUUAAAGACCUUUUGCUA